CCUGUGUCACACCUGUUAUUUUUUACUUAGGAUACAAUUUCGUCCAAAGCACCAGAUCGUUUCCUCCUUACUAUUCAUGAAUUUCCAUGGCAUGAGUUUUGUGUUGAUUAUUACAAUAGACGCAUUUUUUACAAAUAAAGCAGAUGCUGGUGUCAGCACAGGAUCGGACAAUAAAACUAUUAAGUUUUCAAACAUUGAUCAUUCACUUAGUUGUCAACUUGCUGAUUAUGAACAUAAUGAAGUCUAUUGGAUUAAGUUAUCAAAAGAAAUAAAUGGUAGUUAUUGUGAUAUUGUAGAUGUUCAUAAACAUGGCAAAGAGAAUCAAACAAAGUGGUUCCCCUGCACGGAUCUGAAAUCAAGAUCUAACAAUGUUGGAUCAGAUUUAGUCAUAGCUAAACUAGUUUUAAAUUUUAAUUCAACUAGGAUCCAGCUUAACGACAACGGAAGGUACAAAUGUGAAAUUAAUACCAUGAAAGGUGUUUAUAAAGAUACUUUGGAAAUCGAUUGGAGAGGUAUUUCAAGUUGGGGAAGUCACAACAAAAUAUAUAACGCAGGAAAUCACAACUCAUCUAUCAGACAUUCGAAAUCAAUUGUACUGUUCCUCACUGCCUUUUUGCUGGCGAAAAGGUAUUGGUAUUAGCAAGAUUAGAAAUAAAGACAUUUGCAACCAAGACAUAAAAGGCCAGGCAUACAAUUUCAAAGACAAUGCGAAAGGUUAGGGUAAAUUUGUUUAACUUUGUGUUUGCUAAGUGGGCAUAUGAUGACCGUUUAAAUGAAUUGCAUUGUAAACAACAGAUGUCUUUCAUUAGUUUAUCAUAUCUGGCAAUGCUAUUUAUUACGGCGUAACACUGUUGUACGAUUGCAUUUGUUUUUUAGCAUUUCAUUAUUUCUUUUCAGUCUAGUAUUUAAUAGUCUGUGUCUUUUUAAAUAUGAUAUACAUGUAGUAAAAUAAUCUCAGCCAUUGUCAGACUUGAAGAAAGACGUUUUAACUUGACUGAUAAAUAUAUAUUCUACCCUGCGUCGAGUGUGAUACGAUAUUUUUCUACUCGAGACAGUUACUUAUUAUUAGCUGUCGAGAUUGGAGAAAUAUCGUAUUGCACGAGAUUUUGUGGCAAAAUCUGUUUCGCUCAUGAUUUUUAGACGAUAUGCAGACAAUUUAAUCCUUUUUUUCAAUGAUGUGCGAAAAGAUUUGUUCUUUCUAUGUAACGUCAUCGGACAUGUUUGCAAUUUUUGAAGACGUCAUAAUACAAAAUUCAGAGGAGAGCAAACAAAAAAAAUGAGGUCAUUAUUGAAGUCUGACUAAUUAAGAACUGAGAUCAAACGAAUCAUGCCUUGAUUAAACACAAAUAAUCAAGAGGUCCCGAGAGGAGAGAUCGACGAAGAAUUAGAGAAAAAAAUAUUAUAUGUAUAUAAAAAUGCCAUUUAAGAUCUGUAUUCCCCAACUUAAAUCCUUGCAUCUAUGAUAAUUUUAUCUAUAAUUAUGUAUCAAGAAGUCUGUGAUAUUUUUUUUAUAUAUUGUAACGAUUUACAUUAUACAUUUUCUAUUUAGUCUGUUUUCGUGUUUUGUUUUUCUUCAUUAAAUUGUGUAAAUUCAUAGUGGAAUUACAAGAUUUGAACAUCGGUA